UGACCUGACCACCGUGGCACGCAACGCCCUGGUGUCCUCUUUCCCUACCAAAUUUUACCACACCCUAGGGAGUGAAGCAAAGAAAUUUCACUGGCCGCCAAAUAUCAUGCCGCGUGAUUCAAAAAUUUUCACCAACCUGUAUUUAUCCGAACAACAUCUCUCAUUCUCAGCCAUUCACUCUCUUGCCCCCUCUCUCUUAUCUCUAUCUGCUCCACCGAGCUUGCACAGCGGCGGUACUCUGGAUGGAGUGAUGCGCUGGAUCCCCGUGGAGCAAGCAGUAGCUACGGCGAGCAGCGGUGAAUCCCGGGGAGUGAGCUGCUGUGCUGCACGCGGCGGCCGUGCAUCCUGGCGGCGACGGCGAGCUCAAGCGGCUACCGCAUGCCCGAUUCAAGGCGGAGCGGAGCAACAACUGCAGCUCCGAUGGGCGAGCGGCGCGGCAGCCUAAUUCCUAAGAGGAGAAAAUGGAGAAGAACUGCAGUAUUGGCGAGCUGCAGCAUGGUGCGUGCAAGUUGAGAGGUUGCAGUAUACCCAAAGGCAGAGCAUCCGGCGAACCGAGCGGCGCUAGGUGGAGCGUAGCGGCAACUGCAGAUCCAGCAAGCAGAGUGACUGCGGCUACAGGAAGCGGAGUGGCAGUCUCUAUUUCCAUGGCUAGCGAGGGUGAAGCUCAGGCAGGAAGAAGCUGCUCUUUUUUUUCUCUUUUCUUUUUGCCUUUUGAUGAUAGUACCAAAUGAAUGUUGCUUGUAAUUUCAAUCCAGAUAAAUAAACUUUUAAUGUAAUGUUUAUACAAAUGAAGUUGUUUAAUAUCAAUCCAAUGAAUCCUUUUAUCAA